AUGCAGCUGGUGCACGCGAGCUGUGUCCAGUGGCCUGCGACGGUGAUGCUCAUGUUUGCGGUGCUCCGGUGGCCGAAGCCGGAGGCGGAAGGAGUUCUUGUCGGCGUUCCUCCCCUAAAUAAGCUCGCAGGAGUCUCAAAUCUGGUGCUUGAUUUCAUUCCUUCCUGCUUCUCUUUGAGCUACCAUGGAGGUGGAUAUAAAGAAGAGGGAGGGAGGGGAUCAAGCUACCGAACUAUCCAUGUUCGUCCUUGGAGCCUAAUUUCUGCAGCAACUCGGAGGGGGUUUCGGUGCAGAUCUGAGCCCUCUGCGAUUCUCAUAUUAUGCUGCUGCAUCUCAUGGUCGAAGGGCGGCUUCUCGGAGUUCCGACAAUGGAGACCGGCUCCUUUAUUUCCCCCCAGCCGUCGAGCCAAAAUGGAGGCAGCUUACCAUUCCUCCGCCCCGAGUGGUCUCGUCCCCGGUGCCAGUGGGAUCGGGCCAGGAAUGAAGCCGACAACAAGGACUCGAUUGCUUUUCAGUUUUGUCUUCUGGGGUCCUAUCUGCAAAGUCCUUCGGGACCCAUCUUCUAUUAAAAAAAAGUCACUCUACUGGGCCGGCCUUGCCAGACCCCAUGUGUGUUUGCUUGCAGUUCGUCGCAAUGAGCGUAGUUGGGGCGCCACCUGGUGGCGCCGCCUUAGAGGAAGCUGGGCGGUGCCAGUGACGCGUGCAUCUUGGCUCAUCUCCAAAAAAAGAAGGAACAAAAUAGUGACCGUGGAUGCAGUGACUGAUCUUCACCUCGAGCUCAAUGCAUCCACUGUCCCAGAUCCCGGGCUAGUCUCCGUCGUCGUCGCCGCAGCCCGCAGGAAUAAACACAAUAACAAUGGGCAAGAGCAUAAUGCAUUCAGUGCAUCACUUUAUGUUUAUAGAAUAUACAUGAUGAUCAAGCGAGUAUCAUAUGUUGUUGUGCCUGGAGCAUCUAAGCUUGCACUGUUUCCACUUCUUCUUGGACUAAAGAUGUUGAGUAACUUCGUGCCUGCACGUGAUGCAGUUCUUGGCGUUCGACUCGCUGUCCACAUCGGCGCCAUGGUCGGGGCCAUCGCCAGCGGCCAGAUGGCCGAGCACAUUGGCCGGAAAGGGUCGUUAACGAUGGUGGCGAUUCAGAACAUCAACAGUUGGCUCGCCAUCUCCUUCACGAAUGACUCAUCACUUCUCUACAUGGGACGGCUGCUUCAAGGAUUUGGUGUUGGUGUCAUAUCAUACAUGGAAGUGCAAGUAGCUCAUCGUAUCCCUUCUUAUCCAGAUGGAGAGGCCACCUCCAGCUGGCUACUGCGGCGCCAUCACCUCCGGGGCGCCGAAGUGCUCUCCUUCUACACUCCCCCGCUGCGCCUCGGCUGUCGUCGCCCCAGCAACUCCUCCCCGUCUCUAUCCACGCCCAAUGCAAGCAGGGCAGACCCUAGGCUGAGCAGCUCGUGCUUGAGCGGGCGCUUCCGCCACGAGCCCCUGCCCAGCGCCUCCUCCUCCUCCUUCUCCAGCUGCCGUGGCGUCGUCAAGGAUGGCCAUGGCUCGUCGAGCCACGACUUCUUGCGGUGA
rnacentral:rRNA from 1 species